GACGAACGCUGGCGGCGUGCCUAAUACAUGCAAGUCGACCUUAGUGGCGAACGGGUGAGUAACACGUGGGUAACCUGCCCAUCAGAAGGGGAUCACACUUGGAACCAGGUGCUAAUACCGUAUACUGAUGGAUGGACCCGCGGUGCAUUAGCUAGUUGGUGAGGUCACGGCUCACCAAGGAAACGAUGCAUAGCCGACCGGGGGGGGUGUGCGGCCCCAUUGGGACGGAGACCCGGCCCAAACGCCUACGGGAGGCAGCAGUAGGGAAUCUUCGGCAAUGGACGAAAGUCUGACCGAGCAACGCGGCGUGAGUGAAGAAGGUUUUCGGAUCGUAAAACUCUGUUGUUAGAGAAGCGGUAUCUAACCAGAAAGCCACGGCUAACUACGUGCCAGCAGCCGCGGUAAUAC
rnacentral:rRNA from 1 species